AGAGCGAACGCUGGCGGCGUGCUUAACGACAUGCAAGUCGAACGCGCAGCAUUCUGUAGCAAUACAGGGUGUGGGCGCGUGGCGAACGGGUGCGUAACACGUGGAUAACCUUCCUUCAGGUGGGGAAUAACCCAGUGAAAAUUGGGCUAAUACCGCAUAACAAAACGAUGAGACAUCUUGUUGUUUUCAAAGGCGCAAGUCGCCAGAAGAGGGAUCCGCGGCCGAUUAGCUUGUUGGCGAGGUAAUGGCUCACCAAGGCAAUGAUCGGUAGCCGGACUGAGAGGUUGGCCGGCCACACUGGAACUGAGACACGGUCCAGACUCCUACGGGAGGCAGCAGUGGGGAAUCUUGCACAAUGGGCGAAAGCCUGAUGCAGCAACGCCGCGUGGGGAUGAAGCUUCUCGGAGUGUAACCCUUUCGACCCGGAAGAAAGCCCGCGAAGGGUUUGACGGUACGGGUAUAAGAAGCCCGGCUAACUACGUGCCAGCAGCCGCGGUAA
rnacentral:rRNA from 1 species